GGAAGAGGCGGGGUUUCCGCGAUGGCGCCGUCGGCCACGUUCGAUCCCUUCAGAUAUUUACCUGCUAAGCUCCUGGUGGUCCCGAGUGACCCCUGCUGUGAGCAGUGGCCUCCCUUUCUAGGCUGUCCCGAUCAACCUGAGAGGGACUAGAGUCUAUAUCCAAGGGAUGUCAUGGAGGAUUAUCUCUCUUGGUGUUGCAAGGAACAUCAUAAUUAACAUGGUGAUGAAGAAAGGAAAAAAGAAAAGAUAAGACAAAGGGCAAAUGGUAAAGUGAAAACGCCAGAUGCGAUGCUCCCAUCUCCAUGGAAUUCUUUAGAACCCACAAGCAGUGACCUCUGCCUCCUUUCUCAUUGGCCAGGACUGUGGGCUCAUGGGCACUCACAGCUGCAAGGAAAGCUGGGAGAUGAAUCCUUACGAACUGUCCACACUGCUAAUUUGAACACAGUUGUAGUUUUGUUACUUGAAAGAAGGAGGGGAGGAAUGGAUACUGGGACAGCAACUUCUUGUGUCUCACACAUUAGGCCAUGUAGCAAGUCUCUAAUAAUUUUCUGUUUGAAUCUAUGUCUUAUAGGAUCUGUAUCACGAAGACCAUGCAUUCUGUGCAUAAUGCAAU